ACUUUAUUUGUCUGUGGCAUAUGCAGUCAUAAUCCUAAAACUGGUAGUGUCUGAUUUUAACCAGGUUAUGGAUUAGUUACCUUAACUCUAACUUUGAGCCUACAGAAUAUACAUUCUGAAACCACAGACGAGAAACCAUAGGACAGCGUUUCCUCCCACCGUGACGUGAGCCAGCCAUCUUUGAGGGGCCACUUAUACGUAAAUGAGGGGGGUGGAGGUAUAUCUUUUGGAACACAUGAAUGAGGAACACAUGUAGAUUUCCCUCAGAAUGCAAGCACUUAUUGACCAAGGAAAGCCAGGACCUGAUCGACCUGGCUAGUACGACGGAGGAGGACCGGCUGUGGCGACCCGUUCUGCCUACUGUUGAGGGUUUGACACUGUAACAGUGGAGCCUUCCCUUGUGGAAGGUUAGACGCAGAGGUGAAGAAGAACGCCCCCAAGAGGCAUAGAGGCCCGGGCGUCAAACACAGACCCAGCAUCUUCUCCGAUGGAGCAGCAGUAAUGAUGGCAUUACAAAGGAUUGGAACGCCUUAAAAGAAAGAAUUGGAUCAUGGACACAAAGAGAGAAGACAAGUGCCUGUCGGAUGAGACAAGACAGAAACAAUCGGCUGAUGUUUCUGAACAAAGACUUUUUUUUCUAAUUUUUGUGUUUUAUAAAAGUGCAUUGAAUGGAGGAUAGGGUAAUCGAGGGGUCAUCUAGAUCGUAAAAUGAUAAUUCAGAUGGGCUAAGGGAUGUGUGUGACUUAAUAAGUCCGAAGGGGGGAUAUGUAGUAGAAAAUAAUGAAGGUGUAAAAGGAUAUUGGACAAAUCUUGAUACAUAAUUAGUGGGACAGGCUCCAGACCGGCUACAGACCUUGUUCCAUUGUUAUUCAACAGCUCAGAGGAUCAGACAGACAUCCCUCUGUAGCCAAUGUCAUCAGUCUAUCUCUCAGUUCACUUAGAUACAAGUAAAAGUAAGGUUAACGUAAAGCAUGAAUUAUACAAGAAUAUAAGGUAAAUAUAUUUACAAUGGAGCCAAAUGUUAAACACUUGAUAUUACCUGGCUUUCCUUGGUCAACAAGUAUUUGCAUCCUGAGGUACAUUUACAUGUGUUCCGCAUUCACGUGUUGCAAAAGAUAUACCUCCAGCCCCUUCAUUUUGAGCGGCCCCUCAAAGACGGCUGGCCCACGUCACGGUGAGAGGAAACGCCCUCCUAUGGUUUCUCGUCUGUGGUUUUAGAAUGUUUAUUCUGUAGGCUGGAGUUAGGUUAACUAAUCCGUACCACGGUUAAAAUACAGACACUACCAGCUUUAGGAUUAUGACUGUAUAUGCCACAGACAAAUAAAGUGGCAUUGUUAACUAUUACAAAUGCAUAUUUUACUGUUUAAAUGAAUAUUGCUUUCACAGGGCUCCUCUCUCAAUCCCAUGUGGCAACUGGCAAGUCAUGGUGAUUUAAGAUCAGGUUAAUAACACAGGCGAUGAAUGGAUUUUAAUAAAAGACCUCACUUCAUAUAACUAAUGUAUAACAUGUAACUUCAAGUAACUAAUGUUUAAUAAUUAUGUUAUCCUUCUGUACGUAAUGCUUGAAUGGAAUGUAUUUUAGACAUUGUGGGCGGGACAUGAAUGCUAAUGGGGAACGGGGUGGGCCCGUAGUUUAUAGCAUUGUGAUUGGCCAAGAACAUCUUGGGGGCGGCCACACAAUUAGGAUAUAAAUCGGAGCUCAGAGUCUGUCUCCGAGUUCUUUGCAAACCAUUUCAGGUGAUGUAGUUCCUCUGUGCGGUGGCAAUAAAGCCUUGAUCGUUUAAUCCUA